UACACUUUAAAUCCUUUAACGAGGAUCAAUUGGAGGGCAAGUCUGGUGCCAGCAGCCGCGGUAAUUCCAGCUCCAAUAGCGUAUAUUAAAGUUGUUGCGGUUAAAAAGCUCGUAGUUGAAUCUGUGUCGCACGCUGUCGGUUCGCCGCUCGCGGUGUUUAACUGACAUGCUCGUGAGACGUCCUACCGGUGGGCUUAGCUCCUUCGGGGGCGGUCCAACUAAUAUCCCAUCGCGGUGCUCUUUAUUGAGUGUCGAGGUGGGCCGGUACGUUUACUUUGAACAAAUUAGAGUGCUUAAAGCAGGCUAUCAUUUGCCUGAAUAUUCUGUGCAUGGAAUAAUGGAAUAGGACCUCGGUUCUAUUUUGUUGGUUUUAAGAAACCCGAGGUAAUGAUUAAUAGGGACAGAUGGGGGCAUUCGUAUUGCGACGUUAGAGGUGAAAUUCUUGGAUCGUCGCAAGACGGACAGAAGCGAAAGCAUUUGCCAAAAAUGUUUUCAUUAAUCAAGAACGAAAGUUAGAGGUUCGAAGGCGAUCAGAUACCGCCCUAGUUCUAACCAUAAACGAUGCCAGCUAGCGAUCCGCCGAAGUUCCUCCGAUGACUCGGCGGGCAGCUUCCGGGAAACCAAAGCUUUUGGGUUCCGGGGGAAGUAUGGUUGCAAAGCUGAAACUUAAAGGAAUUGACGGAAGGGCACCACCAGGAGUGGAGCCUGCGGCUUAAUUUGACUCAACACGGGAAACCUCACCAGGCCCGGACACCGGAAGGAUUGACAGAUUGAGAGCUCUUUCUUGAUUCGGUGGGGGGUGGUGCAUGGCCGUUCUUAGUUGGUGGAGCGAUUUGUCUGGUUAAUUCCGAUAACGAACGAGACUCUAGCCUGCUAAAUAGGCGUACCUUAUGGUAUCUUGAAGGCCCCCGGCUUCGGUCGGUGGGUUUUUACUACCAACGUACAAAUAAAUCUUCUUAGAGGGACAGGCGGCUUCUAGCCGCACGAGAUUGAGCAAUAACAGGUCUGUGAUGCCCUUAGAUGUUCUGGGCCGCACGCGCGCUACACUGAAGGAAUCAGCGUGUCUUCCCAUGCCGAAAGGCCCGGGUAACCCGCUGAACCUCCUUCGUGCUAGGGAUUGGGGCUUGCAAUUAUUCCCCAUGAACGAGGAAUUCCCAGUAAGCGCGAGUCAUAAGCUCGCGUUGAUUACGUCCCUGCCCUUUGUACACACCGCCCGUCGCUACUACCGAUUGAAUGAUUUAGUGAGGUCUUCGGACUGGUGCGCGGCAGUGUUUCGGCAUUGCCGAUGUUGCCGGGAAGAUGACCAAACUUGAUCAUUUAGAGGAAGUAAUAGUCGUAACAAGGUUUCCGUAGGU
rnacentral:rRNA from 1 species